rnacentral:lncRNA from 1 species
GCGGCGGCGGCGGUGGUGGGGGAUCUAAGGCUGGAAUUGUUAGCUGUGGCGGCAGUGGCGGAGGCCGUGGAUUGUGACUGUGGCUGUGGCUGUGCAGAGGAGUUCUGCUGCUGCAUCAUCAUCAUCAUCAUAACCAUGAAUCAUUCUGCUAAGUCGUUUAUUUUAGGGUUUACGCUUCUUCAGAAUUAGGGUAUUGGAUAAUUCAUGGGGUUUAGGGUUUUUUUUUGUUUUGUUUUGUUUUGUUUUUUAAAAGAAGAGCGGGUUGAUUGGUUGUUUAUGGUUGGGGGUCAGCAGAAACUGAAAAUUAAUUUGUUGAAAUGUUUUUGUUGUUUCCGUUCGCCGAGAAAUGGGAGUGAAUGCGUCUGAGAGUGAGAUUGAGUGAGAGUGAGUCGUCUGUCGCGACUAUAGAAAUGAGACAAAGAUGGAGUUUCG